rnacentral:tRNA from 1 species
GCCGCCGUAGCUCAGCGGGUAGAGCGCCGGCCUUGUAAGCCGGUGGUCGCGGGUUCAAGUCCCGCCGGCGGCU